rnacentral:rRNA from 1 species
GAUGAACGCUGGCGGCGUGCCUAAUACAUGCAAGUCGAGCGAACAGACGAGGAGCUUGCUCCUCUGACGUUAGCGGCGGACGGGUGAGUAACACGUGUAUAACCUACCUAUAAGACUGGGAUAACUUCGGGAAACCGGAGCUAAUACCGGAUAAUAUAUUGAACCGCAUGGUUCAAUAGUGAAAGACGGUUUUGCUGUCACUUAUAGAUGGAUCCGCGCCGCAUUGGCUAGUUGGUACGGUAACGGGUUACCAAGGCAACGAUGCGUAGACGACCUGAUAGAGGGAUCGGCCGCCCUGGAGGUGAAACACGGACAAGACUACUACGGGAGGCAGCAGUAGGGAACCUUCCGCAAUAGGCGAGAACCUUGCGGAGCGACGGCGCGUGAGUGAUGGAGGUCUUCGGAUCGUAAAGAUCUGUUAUUAGGGAAGAACAAAUGUGUAAGUAACUAUGCACGUCUUGACGGUACCUGGUCAGAAAGCCACGGCUAACUACGUG